rnacentral:misc_RNA from 1 species
AAGACGUCGCUUGCAACGUGUCCAUCCAAACUGUGUUGCAGGCCCCUCCCUUCCACCGCACCACAUCCCACGCCGUGCACUCAUGAAUGGCGGCGGCGCUGCACGGCACGCGGAGGCUGGCUUUCCGUUUUGGGUCAACGACAUAGACUCCUUCGCAUCCGUGCCACAGCGUCAUGCACCACUCUCGUGCUCCCUGCUUCGCCUCCGCGACUUGUUCCGCUGCGACGUCGCCGAUCCUGGCGAGUGCUGGCAGCACAUCCUGCUCUCCAGCUACGUGACUGACCUUCCAUGGCUGCUGGCGACAGUGCCGGAGCUGUCCGCUGUGACAGGGAAACUGGUGCUGCUCAGCGGCGAAAAAGGGACGGCGACGCUGCGGCGCACCACCGGCGAUUCUUCGUGUCCAUACACAGCAGCGUCGCCGCUGAUGGACCGCGUGAACCCGUUCAUGGCUGCCUUGCGCGAGCAAGCGAGGGCCACGUCUGCGUUACACACCACCCUUUCGCGCGAACGCCUUGCUGUUCUCGAGCCGCCGUUGCCCGUGGCCUUUGGGACGCACCACACCAAAAUGGCGCUCUGCGUCAACGGCAGAGGCCUGCGUGUUUCUAUCUUCACCGCUAACCUUGUCGAGCAGGACUGGUGCCGGAAGUCGCAAGGCAUCUACGUACAGGACUUCCCAUGGAAGACGGCGACGGUGCGCUCAAACGACGACUCCGCGGAUGCGACUAUGGUGGAAACAGCAACGAGCAGCACCAGUAACAGCAACAAUGGCAGUAACACCUUCACAAAGGGCGCUGAAUUCGUCGCGCAUCUGCGCCACUACUUGAUGCAAUGCGGCGUGAGUCUCGCCGCUGCAUGUGCUUCACCGACAGAUGCGGCAUCCGCGGCUGGCCCCCUCGGAAUCUUCGAAACGGAUUUCCUAUCUCACAUCGAUUUCUCGGCUGCAGCCGUGUGGCUCGUCAGCUCCGUCCCCGGAACGUACGCGCACGGUGAGGUCUGUCCUGGCUACCGUGUCGGGCUUUGUCGACUGGCGGAGGUGCUACGGCGCUCGGCACUGACGAUGGCCACGUCGCCGGCGUCCGUCGACCUGAGCUGGCAGUACAGCUCCCAGGGCUCGCUCAAUCCGGCGUUUCUGAACUCGCUGCAAGCAGCCAUGUGCGGGGAGUCGGCGGCAGUGAUUGAGUCCGGUGACGCACCGCGAGGCGUGCGUGACGUGCAGGUGGUAUACCCCACCGAGGAAGAAGUGCGGAACAGCUGGGAGGGCUGGCGAGGCGGCAUGUCACUCCCUCUGCGUGUGCAGUGCUGCCAUGAGUUUGUGAACGCGCGCUUGCAUCGCUGGGGCAGCAGCGAGGAGGGUCACACGGCAAAGCGUGCAUUCCCACGGCGAACCAAAGUCGCAGCGGCCCACGCCAGCCGUGAGGAUGCUGUUGAUGUAGAUGGAGUGGACAUCGAUGGAGGCGAGGAGACGACGGCAUCACUGGCGGGCAGCUGCGCAGCCGACCGACAGUUUGCGCUGCCCCAUAUUAAGUCGUACGCGGCCGUUGCACCAGACCGUUCCUGCGUCCGUUGGUUUCUUCUGACGAGUGCAAAUCUCUCCCAGGCGGCGUGGGGUAGCCUAAGCAGGAAGGUGAACCAGCGCGGUUCGCGGCAACAGCUCGUGCGCUCGUACGAGCUGGGCGUUCUCUACGACUCCCAUUCUGCUAUUUACCCGUCAGCAUCAUCGUGGUUCAGCGUGGUGGCCGAGUCGAAGAUCGAGCUUCCGAACGCACGCAAUUCUCGUGCGAUGCUGUACGAGACGCCGCUCGGCGUUGACACUCAGGAUGUGUGUCUGUACAUACCAUACAACCUCCUUUGCCCGACCCCGUACGCAAGCACUGCCGCUCUGCGAGCGCACAGGCACGCACCUGACGAGGGUGAGCAGGCCGUCGAAGAAGCGGCGCUGGACUUUAGUGAUGUGCCGUGGGUGCUAGACAUGCCACAUCGGGGUAAGGACGCCUACGGCCUCGAGGUUGAGGAGGCGUUCGAGAGCAUCGUUUCUCCAAAUUUAUCAAAGUGGCAGCCUCGUACGCGCGCCAUGGACACCGCACCGCUGCGCAGCAUCGGGGCCCCCCGUAAGCGCAUGCGUGAGGCGUAGAGCGCGAGGGAGACAGGCACGCGCGUUCGUGUUUAUGUUCGAGGCCCGUUGCUCGCUACAGCGCCGUCGAGCGACUACCAGGACGAACAAGAAAAGCUGUCCCCCUCCACAUCAUUUCUCUGAAUCCACCCUCGGACAGAGAUCGCCAGCGCGCCACCACGGGACAUGUCAGUCACACAGCCACAGAUGGCUAGCAAAAAGUAAGACAGAAAGUCAGAGAUGCUCACACCGCAAGGCGGAAUGGUGGAGUAAGGAGUCCGCGACAAGCGAGCUUUACGCCAUCUGCUCCCCAGCGUAACGAUUUGUUUACGUUCGCAACCUGCUCCGUCUCCGCAGCCCCACACCCCUUCCCACACACGCCACGGUGCCUGCGGUGGCGUCCGCUACGCUCCCCUUAUGUUCGUUUUCGCCACACUCGCUCUCCCUCAUCCCACCUACACGUCACCGCGGCCCUUUUUUCCCUCCGUCUCCCUCCCCCACUCCCCGCCAG